GAAUUUUGGGCAAUGGGCGAAAGCCUGACCCAGCAACGCCGCGUGAGGGAUGAAGGCCUUCGGGUCGUAAACCUCUGUCGGGAGAGACGAAAGGCGCGCGGGUGAACAAUCCGCGUACUUGACGGUACCUCCAAAGGAAGCCCCGGCUACCUCCGUGCCCGCAGCCGCGGUAAUACGGAGGGCGCAAGCGUUGUUCGGAAUUACUGGGCGUAAAGCGCGUGUAGGCGGCCAGGUAAGUCGGAUGUGAAAUCCCGGGGCCCAACCCCGGAACUGCACCCGAUACUGCCCGGCUGGAGUCCCGGAGAGGAUGGCGGAAUUUCCGGUGUAGAGGUGAAAUUCGUAGAUAUCGGAAGGAACACCAGUGGCGAAGGCGGCCAUCUGGACGGUGACUGACGCUGAGACGCGAAAGCGUGGGGAGCAAACAGG
rnacentral:rRNA from 1 species